AGAGUUUGAUCAUGGCUCAGAACGAACGCUGGCGGCAGGCUUAACACAUGCAAGUCGAACGAUGUAGCAAUACAUAGUGCGCACGGGUGAGUAACGCGUGGGAAUAUACCUAUAGUGGGGAAUAACUUUGGGAAACUAAAGCUAAUACCGCAUACGCCCGAGAGGGGAAAGAUUUAUCGCUAUAAGAUUAGCCCGCGUGAGAUUAGGUAGUUGGUGGGGUAAUGGCCUACCAAGCCUACGAUCUCUAGCUGGUCUGAGAGGAUGAUCAGCCACACUGGAACUGAGACACGGUCCAGACUCCUACGGGAGGCAGCAGUGGGGAAUAUUGGGCAAUGGAGGAAACUCUGACCCAGCCAUGCCGCGUGAAUGAUGAAGGCCUUAGGGUUGUAAAGUUCUUUCGCCGAUGAAGAUAAUGACGGUAGUCGGAGAAGAAGCCCCGGCUAACUUCGUGCCAGCAGCCGCGGUAAUACGAAGGGGGCUAGCGUUGUUCGGAAUUACUGGGCGUAAAGCGAGCGUAGGUUGCUCGAUAAGUCAGUGGUGAAAGCCCAGAGCUCAACUCUGGAACUGCCAUUGAAACUGUCGAGCUGGAAUCUCAGAGGGGGUAGCGGAAUUCCAAAUGUAGGGGUGAAAUCCGUAGAUAUUUGGAGGAACACCGGUGGCGAAGGCGGCUACCUGGAUGAGUAUUGACACUGAGGCUCGAAAGCGUGGGGAUCAAACAGGAUUAGAUACCCCGGUAGUCC
rnacentral:rRNA from 1 species